AAUUUGCAGAGGACGCUUCGGGUUCGGCUCCGGUCUAAGUCCUUGGAACAGGACGUCGCAGAGGGUGAGAAUCCCGUAUGUGACCGGCCGUCGGGCCCGUGUGAAGCGCCUUUGACGAGUCGAGUUGUUUGGGAAUGCAGCUCAAAAUGGGUGGUAAAUUUCAUCUAAAGCUAAAUAUCGGCCAGAGACCGAUAGCGCACAAGUAGAGUGAUCGAAAGAUGAAAAGCACUUUGGAAAGAGAGUCAAACAGUACGUGAAAUUGUUGAAAGGGAAGCGCUUGCAACCAGACUUGCCCACGGGUGAUCAGCCGGUAUUCUUACCGGUGCACUUGCCCGUGGUCAGGCCAGCAUCGGUUUGGGCGGCUGGAGAAAGUCCACCGGAACGUGGCUCCUCUCGGGGAGUGUUAUAGCCGGAGGCGUCAUGCAGCCUGCCUGGACCGAGGAUCGCGCUUCGGCUAGGAUGCUGGCGUAAUGGUUGCAAGCGACCCGUCUUGAAACACGGACCAAGGAGUCUAACAUCUAUGCGAGUGUUUGGGUGUCAAACCCGUGCGCGUAAUGAAAGUGAACGGAGGUGGGAACCCUCAAGGGCGCACCAUCGACCGAUCCUGAUGUCCUCGGAUGGAUUUGAGUAGGAGCAUAGCUGUUGGGACCCGAAAGAUGGUGAACUAUGCCUGAA
rnacentral:rRNA from 1 species